rnacentral:rRNA from 1 species
GAUGAACGCUGGCGGCGUGCUUAACACAUGCAAGUCGAACGAAGACAUCUGAGUGCUUGCACUUGGAUGGACUGAGUGGCGGACGGGUGAGUAACGCGUGGGUAACCUGCCUUAUACGGGGGGAUAACAGUUGGAAACGACUGCUAAUACCGCAUAAGCGCACGGUAUCGCAUGAUACAGUGUGAAAAACUCCGGUGGUAUAAGAUGGACCCGCGUCUGAUUAGCUUGUUGGUGAGGUAACGGCCCACCAAGGCGACGAUCAGUAGCCGGCCUGAGAGGGUGAACGGCCACAUUGGGACUGAGACACGGCCCAGACUCCUACGGGAGGCAGCAGUGGGGGAUAUUGCACAAUGGGGGAAACCCUGAUGCAGCGACGCCGCGUGGAGGAAGAAGGUUUCGGAUUGUAAACUCCUGUCGUUAGGGACGAUAAUGACGGUACCUAACAAGAAAGCAACCGGCUAACUACGUG